rnacentral:lncRNA from 1 species
AGGGGAGCGCAGCGCGGGAACAAGGAGCCUCCUGGGAAACUGAGGGAGAGGCGGGAGCAUGCGCACUAGGCUAAGGAACCCGAGAGGCGCGUGUGACUGGAAAUCCCUUCAGAGGUCGCCGUGGACCCAGCGGGGAGCGGGACCUGGUGCUCCCGCGGCCCGAGAUGUGACCCCAGAGUCCGCUCCGCCGGCCGCAGUUCCCCCCUCACACGGGAGGCCGCGGAGGGAGGCUGAGGACCCGCUGCGCAGCCUCCUUGUCCCUCCUCAGGGUCGUGGUGGACUCUCCGUCUGUCCAGGUGGGUUGGGGUCCGGGGGUCUCUGGGAGGGUCCUGAGAUGUCGCCUUGGAGACUUGGUUUCUGGGCGCGACCGUGCUCCCGGCGUGUCGCGGAGACCCCUCCUGGUGCCUGCGGUGUAGACGGCGUGACCUGGAGGCCUAGAGGGUGGUGGGUGGUGGGUGGCCCGGCCCCCGCGGUCCUCCGCACUGACCCGGGCAGGGCGUCCUGGCCCUGGGCAGGGGGAGAAGCGCGGACGAGAGCCGGCUCGACCCCGCCAGGGCGACCUUGGGGACUCGCUGUAGCUGUGAGCAGGACACGGGCGACGCCACCUCUCAGGCUGGGCAGAGGCCAGCACAGCUCCGGGGUCUCUAAGGGACGGUUUGGCGGUGGCGGGUGAGGAGGGGAGGGGGAAAGGGUGACAGCAAUGUCGUGGAGACGGACAGGUGGACAGUUUUGUCCUCUAUAAAACAGUCAACACUCCGUGUCGCAGGCUCCACCCUGGACAGUGAGGACACAGGGGAAGACCCCUGGCCAGGAGUCCCCGUGUCCUCUGGGAGUCCCCUGCUGUUCCUGGUCUGUCCCGAGAGUCCAGGCGCUGAGCAAGCGUCGGACACUAGGUGGCGCCAAACAGGCGCGGGCUCCUUUAGGUCCCUGGUGUCCUGACACCGUCCAUGGGUCCGUUUCCACUGCUGAGUUGUCACAUUGUCACCUCUCACCGUGUCACUCAGCUGCCCCGAGACCCUCCUACCUGAGAUGAAGGCCUGCUUCAGGAGAUGGUCCGCCGCCUUCUGCAGUUGCGUCCCCAUGAGUCCCCCAAACUUCCAAGGACAUCUGUCAACCUGUCCCACCUGGUGCUUGCUCCCUGUGCUUAGUGUCAUUUCCCCCUGUUGGACGUGCUGAGCCGCGCAUUGGACACCAGGUGGCGCCAGAGCUGCGGGUAAACUCUCCUUGAAGCCACAGCCUUGGGCUCUGUGCUCAUCAGCCUGGUUCCUGGAAAACCUUCAGGAUUCCUCUUAAGAGCAGCAACUAGUUUUAGUGUAACUCAGUGAAUUUGAUGCAUGGGAUGAAUUUUCCCGCCAGGAAAGGGAGGAUUAUUACACUCUGCCCAGAGUGUUUUGGGUCCAUCUUCUUGGAAAGCAAAAUACACAAUGAGAUCCCCAAGUGAGAUGAGGGUCUGAAUUCAGCCUUGACCUCUCCCUACAACUGUCAUUACCGGGAGGCUUCUGGAAUCUCUGCCAAUGUUGGGGGCAUUUUCUUCUCUUUUUUGGGUUCUGAUUUUCAUAAGCCAUGAAAUAGAAUUCAAUCAGAAGCAUCCCCACUGAUGAGUCCCAGUUAGUGUUCUACUAAACUAAUACAACAUAAAGAUCAAGUAAUGUGCUCUGGUUUCUAGAAAAGAGUCUCAAUUCAAAUGUGUGAGCCUGUGUAUUGCUUGCUACCUGAGAAGAGAUCAUAAAAUAAAAUUGC